ensembl:lncRNA
CAUUUGGUUUGCUCCCAUCAUUUGGCUAUUAUAAUAGUGCUGCUAUGAACAUGGGUGUACAAGUAUCUGUUUGGGUUCUUGUUUUCAGUUCUUUUGGAUAUUGAAUCUCAAGAUUUGAUGACACAAAUGCAGCAUAUGAUUUUUCCCAUGAAACUUGUAUUUUCCUUAUUCUACCCUUCCUUGUCUUCUUUCCAGUCAUAACCCUUACAGUUCAUUUCCUCUGUGUGGCCAUUUUCUGCCAAGAAAUCCAACUUUAUAUCCAUUUGCGGGCAAAGAUCUGAGAUCUGAUACCACAAAUGCCUUAAUGUGGCUGGCAUUCAUGAGAAGGUAUGCAACUAUUGAGGAAAUACGAAGAACUCAGAAUGUCAAGAGAGAAGAGGCACAACUGUUGGUAUGCCCAUUAUGUCCGGUGGAAACUUUCACUCUCAGAUGUGGAGGCCAUCCAUCUUCAUGACCACACAGUUCUGAGUGGACCUCCUUGAUGGUGCCUGAGUGGAUCCUUGGAAAUCAGCUAUAUCCUAAUAGCUGACCACAAGGCAGCAGUCUGCCUAGGAGGCAUUGGACCAGCGUUAUAAGUAGUGUGCCACACAGUGUCCAGCCAUGAACAGAAUAGCAAUGCUCCAUCUUUGCUAGAGGACCACUUGGAGAGAAGCGUAUUAUCCUUAGCAAUUAAGUACAGACACAAAGAGCCGGUCCCCAGUGGGCUCCAGGACAAGUUGGAAAAGCCUUUGCUGCAGACAGAACCAGCCGCAUUUGAAAACCUGUCUUGCUAAAUCGAGUGCACUUUGGACCUUCCUUUUAACUUCAGAGUUACCUCUCUAGAUGCUGGUCAGUCCGACAAGGUUUAUUUAGUGACUCGAGGCUGCGAAGAUGAAUAUCCUCACGCUGAGUUAUUUACAUAAAGCUAAGUAGCAAAGCCUGUGAUGUUAUAAUCAGGUACCUAUCUACAGGACAGUUUUGAAUGACACAGGGUAUGAAAAAUGUUUACUCUAGUUUACACUAUUUUUGAAUAUUGAUUAGUCUCUAUGGUGAAAACAUUAAUACUUUUUAAUGACCUAUAUGAUAAAACAUGUAUUUGAUUGGCUUCUUAUGGCGUUACUCUUACAAAAAGCUGGGAUGUCGUCAUGUGCAUUCUCUGCCUUUGAGCCUCUGAUGAUUCCAGUCAUCUCAGAAAGAUAGGGCUCUGCCCUCUUGCUUCUGAUUUGCUGGCAAUAGACCUUCAGCUAAUAGUAUAUCUGCUCAGCUGAAGAUGGAGUGCUAAUCUAGGGGAACUCGAAAUGGCUCUGUCAUUUUCUAGAUGACAGCUCCUAUUUUCCACUGGCUUCUGGCACAUGCACUAUCAUCCAUCUAUGUCAAGAAGACACUUGCUUAUCUGGUUGCUAGAAAUGCUUUUGCUAAAAACAUGUAACUGCAGUUCAUCAGUCUUGUGAGGAAGUUGUUGAUUUUGCUAAACUAAGUUUAAACUCCUCUGUGGUUUUCUGAUAUGACAUCUAUUUUUAUUAGAUAUUGUCAUGAUUAUUUAUAGUGUCUUAGAAGCAUACUAGAAUUUUUUUUUUUUUUUUUUUUAAUAGCAAGUUAAUCAGCUGAUUGAAUGGUGCAAAACAAAAGUUUCAGGACCAGGUAUGCCCAUAUCAAAUUUCAUUCUUCAUUUUUAGGCAACCCUUAAUUAAGAAAUUACUGGCUAAAGAAGAGAUAGAAAUUGAAUUAGGACCAUAAAAAAUCAAAAUUCAAUGCAAAUAAUGUAUGCCUCACAACAAACGAUGGCAAGUAUUUAAAAAAAUAAAACCAAUCAUCUGGUUAUAACUUAUGAAAUA